UACGUAGGGUAGCAAGCGCUAAUCGGAAUUACUUGACCGGAAAGCACGCGUAAGCCCCUUGUUAAGUCAGAUGUGAAAGCCCCGGGCUCAACCUGGAAAUUGAAUUUGAAACUGGCAAGCUAUAGCGCAAUAUAGGUAGGUGCAAUUCCAGGCGUAGCGGCGAAAUGCGUACAUAUCUGGAAGAACACCAGAGGAGAAGGCGGCCUCCUGGACUGACUCUGACUCUGAGGCGCGAAAGCGUGGCGAGCAAACAGGAUUAGAUACCCUGGUAGUCCACGCCGUAAACGAUGAGAACUAGCCGUCGGGGCCUUUCAGUCCUUAGUGGCGCAGUUAACGCGAUAAGUUCUCCGCCUGGGGAGUACGGCCGCAAGGUUAAAACUCAAAUGAAUCGACGGGGGCCCGCACAAGCGGAGGAGCAUGUGGUUUACUUCGAUGCAACGCGAAGAACCCUACCAGCCCUUGACAUCCUCGGAACGACCUAGAGAUAGGUUGGUGCCUUCGGGAGCCGAGAGACAGGUGUUGCAUGGCUGUCGUCAGCUCGUGUCGUGAGAUGUUGGGUUAAGUCCCGUAACGAGCGCAACCCCGUCCCUAUCAGCCAGCACUUCGGGUGGGAACUCUACGGGAGACCGCCGGUGCCAAACCGGAGGAAGGUGGGGACGUACGUCAAGUCAUCAUGGCCCUUACGGGCUGGGCUACACACGUGCUACAAUGGGGCGUACAGAGGGUUGCGAAGCGGCGACGGGAGCCAAUCUCCUAAAGCGUCUCUCAGUCCGGAUUGGAGUCUGCAACUUGACUCCAUGAAGUCGGAAUCGGUAGUAAUCGCGAAUCAGAAUGUCGCGGUGAAUACGUUCCCGGGCCU
rnacentral:rRNA from 1 species